GAUAAGCAAGAUGUUGCAUACAGAUAGAGCAACAUGAGCAGGUGAGACCAGCACCAGGUUCAGAGCAGGUGAGACCAGCACCAGGUCCAGAGCAGGGGAGACCAGCACCAGGUCCAGAGCAGGUGAGACCAGCACCAGGUCCAGAGCACGGGAGACCAGCACCAGGUCCAGAGGACAGGUGAUGCAGUACUGGUUAAGGUGAGGACAGGUGGUGUAGCAUCCUACAGGUGAGGACAGUAUUUAUGUAGUAGUGGGCAAGGUAAAGGUUGUGGCUAGGGUGAGGACAGUAUUUCCAUCACCAUGGUGAGGGGGAACAUGGGCCUGUUUCUAGGUUACACACCCACACAAUCUCCUUUCUUCGAUUAGAAGUGAAAAUCUUCAUAUUUCCAGUGUGAAUAGCAGGUCCUACUGCUCAAGGACAUAUUGACUGUACCAGGACAUAUCUACUGUACCAGGAUAUAUCUACUGUACCAGGACAUAUUGACUGUACCAGGGCAUAUCUACUGUACCAGGACAUAUCUACUGUACCAGGAUAUAUCUACUGUGCCAGGACAUAUCUACUGUACCAGGGCAUAUCUACUGUACCAGGACAUAUCUACUGUACCAGGAUAUAUCUACUGUGCCAGGAUAUAUCUACUGUACCAGGAUAUAUUUACUGUACCAGGGCAUAUCUACUGUACCAGGACAUAUCUACUGUACCAGGAUAUAUCUACUGUGCCAGGAUAUAUCUACUGUACCAGGAUAUAUUUACUGUACCAGGGCAUAUCUACUGUACCAGGAUAUAUCUACUGUGCCAGGAUAUAUCUACUGUACCAGGAUAUAUUUACUGUGCCAGGACAUAUCUACUGUACCAGGGGCAUAUGUGGUGUACAUUCACCCUGGAGUCACACUCCCCAAUGGGUUAGGGUUACACCUCUACAGAACACACACCUCUACAAAACACACACCUCUACAAAACACACACCUCCACA